rnacentral:rRNA from 1 species
UACGUAGGGUGCGAGCGUUGUCCGGAAUUAUUGGGCGUAAAGAGCUCGUAGGCGGUCUGUCGCGUCGAAUGUGAAAACCCGGGGCUCAACUCCGGGCUUGCAUUCGAUACGGGCAGGCUAGAGUUCGGUAGGGGAGUCUGGAAUUCCUGGUGUAGCGGUGAAAUGUGUUGAUAUCAGGAGGAACACCCAUGGCGAAGGCAGCAAACUGGGCAUCAACUGACGCUGAGGCGCGAAAGCGUGGGUAGCAAACAGG